rnacentral:rRNA from 1 species
UCUUGGUCAUUUAGAGGAGUAAAAGUCGUAACAAGGUUUCCGUAGGUGAACCUGCGGAAGGAUCAUUAUCGAAAUUAUUGGUGAGGGUUGUAGCUGGCCUUUCGAGGCAUGUGCACGCUCGAGCCCUUAAUCCACUUUACACCUGUGCACUUAAUGUAGGUCGCCCUUAAAAAAGGUGACCUAUGUCUUAUCAUCAACCCAUCGUAUGUCUCAUAGAAUGUAAUCGAUAUCCUCGCCCUAAAAAAGCGUUGAUAAACUUAUACAACUUUCAACAACGGAUCUCUUGGCUCUCGCAUCGAUGAAGAACGCAGCGAAAUGCGAUAAGUAAUGUGAAUUGCAGAUUUUCAGUGAAUCAUCGAAUCUUUGAACGCACCUUGCGCUCCUUGGUAUUCCGAGGAGCAUGCCUGUUUGAGUGUCAUUAAAUUCUCAACUCCAAGGGUUUCACGACCUUUCGGAGAUUGGACUUGGAGGUGCUGGCCGCAUAUUGGUCGGCUCCUCUCAAAUGCAUCAGCGGAAUUCAACCUUUGGCUUCCGGAUGUCAGUGUGAUAAUCAUGUUGCGCUGUCGUUUGAUCCCUCAGAGUCCGCUUAUAAUGGUCUUCGGACAAAAUCAUCAUCAAAUUUGACCUCAAAUCAGGUAGGACUACCCGCUGAACUUAAGCAUAUCAAUAAGCGGAGGAAA